UAUGAUGUAGCUCAGCUGGGAGAGUGUUUUUCUACCAUUCAGGAAGCCCUGGGUUCAAUCCCCAGCACCAUAU
rnacentral:tRNA from 1 species